UACGUAGGGUCCGAGCGUUGUCCGGAUUUACUGGGCGUAAAGCGCGCGUAGGCGGAAUGGUAAGCGGGGCCGGAAAGCCCCCGGCUCAACCGGGGGAAGAGGCCGUGAACUGCCAUUCUUGAGGGGGGAGAGGAGAGCGGAAUUCCUGGUGUAGCGGUGAAAUGCGUAGAGAUGUGGAGGAACACCGAUGGCGAAGGCAGCCCCCUGGGUCAAGAUUGGACGCUCAUGCACGAAAGCGUGGGGAGCAAACGGG
rnacentral:rRNA from 1 species